rnacentral:tRNA from 1 species
CAGGGAAUAGUUUAAUAAAAAUAUUAACUUUGGGAGUUAAUGAUAUGGAAAAUCUUUUUCUCUGA